rnacentral:rRNA from 1 species
GAUCAGUGGCUACGAGGACGAACGCUGGCGGCGUGCCUAACACAUGCAAGUCGAGCGGGGACAUGCGACGGAUAGGAAGAUUCGGUUGGACUUGAAGAUGCAUUGUUCUAGCGGCGGACGGGUGAGUAACGCGUGAGCAACCUGUCCCUUACAGGGGGAUAACACAGCGAAAGUUGUACUAAUACCGCAUAAGACCACAGGAGGACAUCCUUCAGGGGUCAAAGGAGCAAUCCGGUAAGGGGUGGGCUCGCGUCCGAUUAGAUAGUUGGUGAGGUAACGGCCCACCAAGUCGACGAUCGGUAGCCGACCUGAGAGGGUGAUCGGCCACAUUGGGACUGAGACACGGCCCAAACUCCUACGGGAGGCAGCAGUGGGGAAUAUUGGGCAAUGGGGGGAAACCCUGACCCAGCAACGCCGCGUGAGGGAAGAAGGUUUUCGGAUCGUAAACCUCUGUCCUUGGUGAAGAGGAAGAGACGGUAGCCAAGGAGGAAGCCCCGGCUAACUACGUGCCAGCAGCCGC